rnacentral:lncRNA from 1 species
AAGGAUGUCGCAUCCACUGCCUACGUAUCUCAUCUGAAUAUGAGAAUCAGAGUCUUCGUAGCUCGGCUACCUAUGGGUUAAAGAGAAGUGUGCUCGGUAAGACAUCGCGUCUUAAGAGAAUCAGAGUCUUCGUAGCUCGGCUACCUAUGGGUUAAAGAGAAGUGUGCUCGGUAAGACAUCGCGUCUUAUGCCUACGUAUCUCAUCUGGAAUGAGAAUCAGAG